UUUGAUCCUGGCUCAGGAUAAACGCUGGCGGCGCACAUAAGACAUGCAAGUCGAACGAACUUAAUUCGAAUGUUUACAUUUGGAAGCGGUUAGUGGCGGACUGGUGAGUAACACGUAAGCAACCUGCCUAUCAGAGGGGAAUAACAGUGAGAAAUCAUUGCUAAUACCGCAUAUGCUGUGAGUAUCGCAUGAUACAAACAGGAAAGGAGUAAUCCGCUGAUAGAUGGGCUUGCGUCUGAUUAGAUAGUUGGUGGGGUAACGGCCUACCAAGUCGACGAUCAGUAGCCGGACUGAGAGGUUGAACGGCCACAUUGGGACUGAGAUACGGCCCAGACUCCUACGGGGGGCAGCAGUCGGGAAUAUUGCACAAUGGAGGAAACUCUGAUGCAGUGACGCCGCGUGCAGGAAGAAGGUUUUCGGAUUGUAAACUGCUUUAGAUGGGGAAGAAGAAAGACUGUACCCAUAGAAUAAGCUCCGGCUAACUACGUG
rnacentral:rRNA from 1 species